AGCUCGGGUGGCCUAGUGGUUAGAGCAUCUGUCUUGGAUGCAGGAGAUCAUGGGUUUGAUCCCCAGUUGAGUCA